CCCAGACUCCUACGGGAGGCAGCAGUGGGGAAUAUUGGACAAUGGGCGAAAGCCUGAUCCAGCAAUACCGAGUGAGUGAUGAAGGCCUUAGGGUUGUAAAGCUCUUUUAGCAAGGAAGAUAAUGACGUUACUUGCAGAAAAAGCCCCGGCUAACUCCGUGCCAGCAGCCGCGGUAAGACGGAGGGGGCUAGCGUUGUUCGGAAUUACUGGGCGUAAAGAGUGCGUAGGCGGUUUAGUAAGUUGGAAGUGAAAGCCCGGGGCUUAACCUCGGAAUUGCUUUCAAAACUACUAAUCUAGAGUGUAGUAGGGGAUGAUGGAAUUCCUAGUGUAGAGGUGAAAUUCUUAGAUAUUAGGAGGAACACCGGUGGCGAAGGCGAUCAUCUGGGCUACAACUGACGCUGAUGCACGAAAGCGUGGGGAGCAAACAGGAUUAGAUACCCUGGUAGUCCACGCCGUAAACGAUGAGUGCUAGAUAUCGGAAGAUUUUCUUUCGGUUUCGCAGCUAACGCAUUAAGCACUCCGCCUGGGGAGUACGGUCGCAAGAUUAAAACUCAAAGGAAUUGACGGGGGCUCGCACAAGCGGUGGAGCAUGCGGUUUAAUUCGAUGUUACGCGAAAAACCUUACCAACCCUUGACAUGGUGGUCGCGGAUCGCAGAGAUGCUUUUCUUCAGCUCGGCUGGAUCACACACAGGUGUUGCACGGCUGUCGUCAGCUCGUGUCGUGAGAUGUUGGGUUAAGUCCCGCAACGAGCGCAACCCUCAUUCUUAUUUGCCAGCGGGUAAUGCCGGGAACUAUAAGAAAACUGCCGGUGAUAAGCCGGAGGAAGGUGGGGACGACGUCAAGUCAUCAUGGUCCUGGCUCAAGAACGAACCACGUUGCCGGUGAAGCAACAGUGCGCAUAGCGAACACUGGUUGUGCGAGACGCGGCUUUACAGUUGCUUUGGCAGCAUGUGCGAAUGGAGACAAGCUACCAGCGUUUGUGAUUUUAAAGGAACCGAGCGGCAAGAUACCAGCGAAGGCAUUCAUGAAACUUCGCAUUCCAGGUAAGUGUCCAACAAAUUACUCGUGGGUCAGUUCGAAGGCCAAAUCAAGGCGAGGCUCCCAGGCAGCAUAUUGCAUGCACACGGCCGGGUGAUCUCUUCCCCCCCCUUCCA
rnacentral:rRNA from 1 species